rnacentral:lncRNA from 1 species
CAGUUAAACUUCUUUAAUUCAAUUUCAGCUUUUUCACCCCUUUUCAGUAAAAUAUUUCAGUUUUUUCACCACUUUUCAGCACAAAUCCUUCACCUCUUUUCAGCGCAAAGUUCUGCUUCUUUCCAUCUUUUCUACAGAAACUCUGCUCAUUCACCUCUUUUCAGCGGAAUUUUCAGAAUUUUCACCUCUUUUCAGCCCAAAUUCUGCUUAUUCACCUCUUCUGCAAAAUGUUCACCCUUUUCACCUCUUAUCAGCACAAAUCUCAGCUGUUUUCAGAAAAAACCUCUUUUGAGCAGAAAUUCUGCUGAUUCAUCGCUUUUCAGCGCAACUGUUUGCUUCUUUACCUCUUUUCAGCAGAAAUUCUGCUGAGUCACCUCUUUUCUGCAAAAUUUCCAGCCCUUUUACCUCUUAUCAGCACAAUUCUCAGCCGCUUCUGCUCAUUUCAGCCAAAUUGUCCGUCUCUCCACCUUUUCUUUGCGAGAGUGACUUUGGCUCAGUGAAAUGAAUAGCUGCCUUGAGACCAGGAGGGCCAGGUUCGAAUCCUGCUCACGGUGACAUUUUUUUGAAAUUCAGAGCUGAAAUUCUGAAACGGGAGGCAUUUUCAAAUCGCCAAAUCUCUUUAACAAAGCAAAGUUAGGACAUGAGGCUUGUGCCAAUAUAUCUUCAGACACUGCUGACACUCACAGUGGAAGCAGUUUUUACAAUUAUCUUACCGUUGAGCAAUGAAUUACGUUUGUUUGAGGGGUGGAAAUCUGUCCUUCUCUUAGUCUUCAAACUCUGGAAAUGAAGCCGUUUCUUCUCUCGUCAUAUCUCCGCGACGGAGGUAGAACGAGCUAUGAAAAUCGCAGUCAAAAUACACCAAAGUCCGCUGAUUCACCCAGUACAAGAAUUAUGCUGCUAGCCCUCCUAGUUUUUGAGUUACACGACGUUUUGUAACUCCAAAAAACGGCGUU